UUCCGGUUGAUCCUGCCGGAGGUCACUGCUAUCAGUAUUCGAUUAAGCCAUGCGAGUCAAAUGUUUUUCGUAAACAUGGCGUACUGCUCAGUAACACGUGGAUAAUCUGCCCUAAGGUCUGGCAUAACUCCGGGAAACUGGUGAUAAUUCCAGAUAUGCCAUAGAAACUGGAAUGUUCCGUGGUCAAAAGCUCCGGCGCCUUAGGAUGAAUCUGCGGCCUAUCAGGUUGUAGUGGGUGUAGUGUACCUACUAGCCGACGACGGGUACGGGUUGUGAGAGCAAGAGCCCGGAGAUGGAUUCUGAGACAUGAAUCCAGGCCCUACGGGGCGCAGCAGGCGCGGAAACUUUACAAUGCGGGAAACCGCGAUAAGGGGAUACUGAGUGCCAGCAUCUUAUGUUGGCUGUCCGCAUGUAUAAAUAGCAUGUGUUAGCAAGGGCCGGGCAAGACCGGUGCCAGCCGCCGCGGUAACACCGGCGGCCCGAGUGGUGGCCACUAUUAUUGGGUCUAAAGGGUCCGUAGCCGGUUCGAUCAGUCUUCCGGGAAAUCUGACAGCUCAACUGUUAGGCUUCCGGGGGAUACUGUCGGACUUGGGACCGGGAGAGGUAAGAGGUACUACAGGGGUAGGAGUGAAAUCUUGUAAUCCUUGUGGGACCACCAGUGGCGAAGGCGUCUUACCAGAACGGGUCCGACGGUGAGGGACGAAAGCUGGGGGCACGAACCGGAUUAGAUACCCGGGUAGUCCCAGCCGUAAACGAUGCUCGCUAGGUGUCUGGGACGGUGCGACCGUUUCAGGUGCCGCAGGGAAGCCGUGAAGCGAGCCACCUGGGAAGUACGGCCGCAAGGCUGAAACUUAAAGGAAUUGGCGGGGGAGCACUACAACGGGUGGAGCCUGCGGUUUAAUUGGAUUCAACGCCGGA
rnacentral:rRNA from 1 species